AGACACUGGACACACCCGGGACACGCUCGGGACACACCCGGGACACGCUCGGGACACACCCGGGUCACGCCCCCGCCCCUCGGGAAACGCCCCAGGACACCCCCACGCCCCCAGACACGCCCCCCCAGUCCCUCACAGCCCCCGGCCCCUCACGGAUCCCGGUCCCUCACACCCCCGGCCCCUCACGGAUCCUGGUCCCGCACAGCUCCCGGCCCCUCACAGCCCCCGGUUCUGGUGCUCCCGCCCCUCAGCUCUCACCAAACGGGUAAAUAAAUACAGGCGAGCCGUGAGUACCUGCGACAGGGAACGCCUAAGGAAACCCAUCCGAUGGACAAGCUGCUCGCACCACUCCUGUGCAGGAGAAGCUUGACGGGAAGAAGUUCCCAGUAAAUUGUCCAACUGUUUUCCUGUAAAGAGGAAACACCUGAACUGGGCAGACCUGUGAGCAUUUCAGUUACCAAGAACAGUUUGCUGUGCAGUCCAUGCUGUCACAUUUUACAAAGUCCUCACCCACCAACACUGAGUUCACUGAAUUGCUCUAACGCUGAUUAGCACGAGGCAGCACACAGCACCGUCGUGGUCUCCAGCUCUCCAGUCUCUGCAGGCCAGCUCCCAGUGGGUAUCUGUGCUUGUGUCACGUGUGUACAAGGAGUAUCUCUACAGCUCCAUUUGAAGGCAUUUUGAGCUGUGUGAAAUCCUGGUCUGAUGAAUCAUAAUAUCACCUGCAAUGCACAGAACACUACAUGAAGAACACCACCAUUAAGCGAAAGGCAGGACCCACAGUGAGAUGACUUUUGCCUGUAAUGAUGCUAGGUUUGGAGUUUCAGUGCUAUUGCUGUGGCAGCCUAAGGCAAUUACAGAUGUUGCCUUAACAAACACCCCUUUCCUGCAUAGACCCAUUCCCUGGAUGAGUGCAGUGCCUGUGGAAGGCUGUCACUGAAGCCAAUUAUAGAAAAAUAUUGAGAAGUCUGUAAAGGUGUCUGGCAAGUGAGAAAUAAAUCCCACCUGUCACUUCUUACUCAAUCCCGCUAGCAAAUCAUAAUCCUCAGUCAUCACCACCUCGGAGCUUGUAGCACGGGAAGGAUCUAGGUACGAAGAGCAAGGAUUGCACGUCACUCUGGGGACUGUGAUUAGCCCAAGCCUUAGGUAAAGGAGCCUGGCUGUGUCAGUUCAGUCAAUACUGCAAAGCCACUGUGCAUGGCCGGCACACGCUGUCCGUGCCCACCGGCGCUCCGCUGCCACAGCGGCUCAGCGGGGCGAGCCCCGAGGAUGAAUUACGGCUGCUCCCGCAGACAGGGUGAAGCUUUCGGGCCAGGCUGAGCUCAUCGGCCAGACGCCGCAGAGGAGCCAUCUGCCCAGAACACAAAGAGAAGGCAAGCGCUUCAGUAAACAGAGGUUUUGCAAGAAAUGACAACCUUCUCAAGGGCGGGACAAACACACACGGCUCUCAGCCACAGGACUGCAUUGACAGCAGUGUGUUUGACCUCUGUGAGGGAAAGGCGCUGCCUGUGUCUGCUGAGCACUGCCUGAGCAGGGCAUAAGGGACACUCACGGGGUCCCUCAGCUCCCCCCGGCUCGUUCUUUCCUUCAGUCCCCUUCAGAGAAUUCCCCUCACCUGGGUGCAUUACCAAUACUUGGUUUUGGAAAGGCUGCAAGAUACAAACUACCAAAUACAACAUUAUGAUACUUGGGCCACUAGUUGCUGCCUGUGUUAUGUCUCUCAGCCCUGGAGAAAUAUUAAGACAGCAGAAAAUACCUAGAAUCUGACCUAAUUAGAAGUUGGAUUUAAUUCCCUUAAGACAUAGGUCUGUCAGUGCAUUGCCACAAGAAUAUUCAGAAUAGCAAAGCCUUCCCCUGCUCAUUUAAGUAUACAAAUGCCUUAUUUUGGUCAUAGAUUAAGCAUUUCUCAUGGGUACAAUUCUACCUUGGACUGGAACGAAAACCAAUUUCAGAGGAAUUUAUUAACAUUUUGAGGCUCUCUGAAGGUCAUAUGUAAUCAAGAUUUGAGGCAAAAAGAAGGGGAUGCUUGUUUAAAGCAAACAGAAAUCUGAUUAGCCUUGAAACCCUUCAAGCUACUGAGGCCAAAGUCUUUCCUAGUAGGCAAAGAAGGUUUCUGAUGUAAGCUAGGGCAACCUCUUCCAAGACUGAUAUGCAGAAGGUGCAGGUUCAUCUGAGUGUUUCCAGGUCUCAUGCCAAUGACUGGAAACAAUUUUAAGACUUCAAAAACUUUAGAACAAAACCAACCCAAAAAAAUUCAGUCAAAAGAUUUAGAGCCACAGAUGCUGAAGCCAUAUGACUUUAGGAGGUACUUAGUUGUCAUUAGAAACAUCUCAUCCACAUGAUUGCUCACAAUCAAGUAGUCCAAUUUCAGAUAAGAAAAAAAAGCUCCAAAUCUGUUGCCUUUUAAAUUCAAUCUGCUGGGUUUGGUUGCUGGUUUUUGUGUACAUGGAAUUGGCAGAAUGAGGAAGGAGUGAACUCAAUCAGUAGGUCUUCUAUUUUCAUCUGAAUGCUCAAAGAAUUGUCAUCACCAACUGUAAAGUCUAAAUGCCACUAAGAUAAGAUUUACAAUGUGGAUGAAUUAGGAACCUCUUUUUCUCAAAGUUGUGGUAUGUUCAAUCCAUGUCCAGAAGACACUGAUUGCAUUUUUUCUCACUUUUUUCCUCAAAAUGCAAAAGUUUUGAUUUUCCAUGGGAUGUAAAAUCAAACAUCCCUUCACUCCUGACCUACAUUUGCUGCAGGUCAUUCAAUUAUGAAUGAAAAUGCCACUUUGUUUAUACUAGUUGAAUUUAUGACAGAGAUUAAGUUACGGAAUUUGUUCUCCUGGCAUCUUAUUAAUACAGCUCUGCUGGAAAAUUCCUCAGGCAACAGGCAAAAUAAUGACUUAAAACUGCAAUGAGAUAAUUACCUAACAGUGCAGGCAUUUUGAAGAUAGACGUAACUCUGGAUUUGAAAAUACAUUUUUUAGGACCUUAUCCUUUAUAUAAAAGGGUGUGAAAUACUUACAAUUACUUUAAUUUAUGUUCAUGACAUUUUGGUUUCGAUCUAAUCAACUCCAAGUACAUUAAAGAAAAUUUUGUCAUUAUUCAAUAUCAGGAUUUUAGCUAUUCACAGCAAUUUUCUUAACUUUUAAUUUUGAAAAGGUAAAUCUUCAAAUCCUGGUAAAAUUAACUUUGUGCCAUGAUGAAACACUUUGAUCUAUACAGUGCCUUUAUUGCAUCUGGCAUGCCAAGAUGCUUUGAUGAAUGAAAAAAAAAUGAGCAAAUUCAGCACUUCCCAUCGACUUCCAGCUGACAGGCAGUUGUACAUGUGCUGAAGAGCCAACUCCUCACUGAUGCAAAGCCAUGGAGGAGGAUUCCUCUGAAGCAUCUCUAAAGCAGAUGUCAUAAACUACAUCUAAAUCUUAAGUGGACACAAAUAAUUAAUUUAUUUGAUUUAGCUCCCUCCCCUUUCAAAUGGAAGUAAACAAAACAUCUCUCUCCUUAGUGAUAAUUCACACAGUUCAGGAUCAUGAACUUUCCUAAAUGUCCUUUUAUAGGCAACACCUAAUGUAGAAACAGCACAAGAGAUUAAUCCACAAGAGUGGAGUGGGUUAAACUCCUGGGAAAAGAUCUCUAAUAUAGUCCUUUUCCCCCUGGUCAGCUCUGCAAGCCAAGCCAGAGGGGACACCCUGCUUUCUCUACACAUGGAUCCAGUUCCUCACUGGCCUGGUUAUUCACUGUCAUAAAAGAGGACCCCAUUAAUAUGGGAACACUUACUGAUGAAGAUGCACAAGCCCACAGAAACAGGAAAGCCUACUCUCUGGUGAUCCAGGAACACAAAGCAAGACAACUUCAACCAACCAGGCAGCCUGGAGAAAAUUUUCCAUAUUCUUCUUAUUCCAAUUCUCAAGUUGAAAGAUUCUAGACAUGUGAGGUGCUUAACUUUGUCAUUUCCCACACAGCUCCAAAACAGGCAUGACUUAUUCGGACACUUAUGGUGAGAGCUCACACUGGUGUUUUCAGAGAAACAUCACUCUUGUGUCUUUUCUCCUCUGUAAGCAGAGCAAGACUACUGUCAGGAUCCAGUCAGGACAGCCUUUCACAAAUGAAAAACAUCAAUCAAACAGGCACCAAAGGAAGCCCAUACAGGUAUUUCUGCUUGGACACCAACACAUGGGAGAUGGCAACCCAGCAAAUGGAAACAGAAACAAAAAUCAAUUGCCUCCUGAAAGUGUUUUCUGCCUCUUUUGCAAAGACCUGCAGACUUUGAAACUAAAGGCUAUUUGGGAACAUACAUCCCCAUUCCCCUUAUAGCUGGUCUUGAUGAUGAUUUCUGAGAGAAUCUAAGCAUCACAUUUAGAGAGCAUGAUUACAGAUUACUGUAAUAAAUGUGAAAACAUUGGAGUUUGUCCCUGAUUCUGUCAUUGCUCUCCUGGUAUACUUUUUUAACAAAUACUAUUAGCAAUUUCUGAGAAUAAAUGUAAAAGUUCCACACAACCAAAAUAAUUCUCUAUCAAGUGAGUGUAAAGAAAGGUGAAAGCAUUGUCUUGGAGCAAGAAGACUGCAGUAUUCCCCUGUAGCCUCCUAGCACAAUCCUCCACUCUGAAAAGAUUUCAGAUGCUCAAAAGCCAUUACAGAGCCCAUCCAGACAGGAUUUACAGGGGUUUAAUUCCUUAUGCACUCCAGAUGUUGUUCGGAGUGUAACAGUUUACAAAAGCUAGCAAACAUUGUCCUUCCAGGCAAAAACACCCAUAAUGCCUGUAACAUUUAGCUAAAGUCAGACAUAUUAAAGAAAUGAUGACAUAUGGAUAUAUUAAAACAAACAGUUUGUAAUUUGUCGUUACUGCCUUGGAAUGAAAGUUCUGGAUUUGCAUAGGGACAGUGAUUAGAUGCUAACACACAUACAAAACU
ensembl:lncRNA